GGCCUUUUAGCAUAUCUGGUAAAUGCACAAAGACAGUGUCCUCCCAACCUACUAGUUCCUGUAUAUACUUGACUUUGAGAAGCUGGUUCGAAUCCAGCAGAGGCCA